UACGGAGGGUGCGAGCGUUGUCCGGAUUUAUUGGGUUUAAAGGGUGCGUAGGUGGCUGAUUAAGUCAGUGGUGAAAUACAGCCGCUCAACGGUUGAGGUGCCAUUGAUACUGAUUAGCUUGAAAGAAUUGGAGGCUGCCGGAAUGGAUGGUGUAGCGGUGAAAUGCAUAGAUAUCAUCCAGAACACCGAUUGCGAAGGCAGGUGGCUACGAUUUAUUUGACACUGAGGCACGAAAGCAUGGGGAGCAAACAGG
rnacentral:rRNA from 1 species